rnacentral:rRNA from 1 species
UACGUAGGGGGCAAGCGUUGUCCGGAAUCAUUGGGCGUAAAGAGCGUGUAGGCGGUCCGGUCAGUCGGUUGUGAAAGUCCAGGGCUCAACCCUGGGAUGCCGGUCGAUACUGCCCGGACUAGAGUUCGGAAGAGGCGAGUGGAAUUCCCGGUGUAGCGGUGAAAUGCGCAGAGUAUCGGGAGGAACACCUAUGGCGAAGGCAGCUCGCUGGGACGUUACUGACGCUGAGACGCGAAAGCGUGGGGAGCAAACAGG